rnacentral:rRNA from 1 species
UCGAGAAUCUUCCGCAAUGGGCGAAAGCCUGACGGAGCGACACCGCGUGCAGGAUGAAGGCCUUCGGGUUGUAAACUGCUGUCACGCUAUAGGAAUGCCCUGUGGUUAAUAUCCACAGGAUUGACCAAAGCGAGAGGAAGCACCGGCUAACUCCGUGCCAGCAGCCGCGGUAAUACGGAGGGGGGCUAGCGUUGUUCGGAAUUACUGGGCGUAAAGCGCAUGUAGGCGGGUCGUUAAGUCGGGGGUGAAAGCCCAGAGCUCAACUCUGGAACUGCCUUCGAUACUGGCGACCUGGACCCAAGGAGAGGCAAGUGGAAUUGCGAGUGUAGAGGUGAAAUUCGUAGAUAUUCGCAGGAACACCAGUGGCGAAGGCGACUCGCUGGACUUGUGGUGACGCUGAGAUGCGAAAGCGUGGGGAGCAAACAGGAUUAGAUACCCAUGUAGUCCCUGAGCGGGCUGGCAAGGCGCAU